UACGUAGGUGGCAAGCGUUGUCCGGAUUUACUGGGCGUAAAGAGCGCGCAGGCGGUCGUUCAAGUCGCGUGUGAAAGCCCCCGGCUCAACUGGGGAGGGUCACGCGAUACUGAUCGACUCGAAGGCAGGAGAGGGAAGUGGAAUUCCCGGUGUAGUGGUGAAAUGCGUAGAUAUCGGGAGGAAGACCAGUGGCGAAGGCGGGUCUCUGGACAGUUCCUGACGCUGAGGCGCGAAGGCCAGGGGAGCAAACGGG
rnacentral:rRNA from 1 species